GUAUAUGUGUUUGUUUUUUUGUGUUGCAUCCAUUUUUGUAAUAUUUCCUUGUACGUACAGGUGCACAGGUGAACUCUCAUGUAAUAUCAUGUCAUAUACAAUGGCUUCAUCAGAAACAAAACCACAUAGGGUAUCUUGUUUCAGAUGCUGUUUGACAAACCCAAUCUGUUUUCUCUAGAUGAGCCAAAGUAGAGACUACUAGACUCCCUUACUAUGCAACAUUCAUCUCCUAAUAGUGGCUGAAUUGAGUUGUUACAUCUUCACAAAUUAACCCCUAUGAGACAGUCUGCACUCUGGAGCUACUGCUACGCGUUGCAUUUCUUAGUGAUCUCAUUUAAACUUUAUUUCCAGUACUCUGCAAAUGAUAAUAGCUUUUUCUUGCAGGCGUUGGCAUUCUACUGAAUGUCCCAGUUCCAUUUGACAUUCAUUCACAUGUUUGCUCAUGUAAUUGUCUAUAAUUAUCCUACCUAGAAUUGUUGAACUGCGCUAGUUUGCUCUGUGGUGUGAUGUCAGUCACCAUGUUUGGAGUGACAGGCUGCUGAAGUUGCUCUGUGCAGUUUUAAACCUGACUUUCAAAGUUACCACCAGAGGGCGCACAACGAAACCCACGGGCCUGUUUAUCUUACAACCCAUGUAAAGCGGAAUUGCUCAUUUAAUUUUUAGGGCAAAAAAAAAAAAAAAUUGAUAACAUGAAUAUCUGCUUUGCAAAUGGGAAAAUGCAACUUUAUCUCUAGGUUUUGAGAACAGGAUGAUUUAUAUAGACACCCUCUCCAGUCGCACUUGUCUUCCAAUUUGCUCCCAUGAAUGCUCUUCAGACUACAACGUUUUGCUUAUUGUCUGUGCGGCUGGGUGGACAUAACAGCUAAGGUCUGCACACAGAUGUUCUGAGCUGAAUGUCCAGCUGGUGUCCUUUGACUAGUUUUUUAUGGAAAAGUUGUGGACUGUGAACUAUGCAAAGUGUUAGCGCCUCAUGUUCCUGAUGAUCUAUGGAGGAACAGAUGUUAUACGAUCAGUGGUUAGGUAACUAUCAAAUAUUUCAGACAUCGUAAUAAUAUCAAUAAUGACUUACGAUGUAAACAUAUGUUGCGUUGGCAUGAGGCAUUGGCGAGAUGGUGUUCACUGAAAAGGGGCAGGCUCAAAGCACAAAUCCUUGGGGUACGCCAUAGGAAACAUGACUUCACUUGGACACCAUCUUAUGCCAUGUCAGUCUGAGAGAUUGGAGAGGACGGGCUGGGUAGAGAAGAAACCAGAGGAGAUAUCGAGUUCAGCAGAUGUGGAGAUGGUUACAAUACAAUUUGUGUAGUUGCCUUCAGUCCACUAAACUCUGCAUUCAUCAAACCAGUUUAAUGUUGUAUCGUGCACAGGGGCGUGGCCACGUGGUGGCCAGGGGGGGCCACGGCCACCAUUGGUCAGAGAAUGGCCACCCUGCCGGCCCCCCCAACCUCACAGCACGGCAAAAAAAAAUAAAAAUAAAAAUAAAAACCCACCUGAACAGAAACGGUAUAAAGCUGAAAUAAAUGAAUUCGUAUUUUUUUUAUCAAGUCGUCUUAUAUUGUCAUUUGUCACUUAGCUACAAGCCCCAUAUUCGCAACAUGUUGGGCCACGCCCCCAUCAACAGCGCAAGACACAAACCAACGUGCCUGCAUUCUGACAGCGCUUCAAUGGAGACUAGCAGCUAACCACUGGAUACCACUGUAACUAACAGACAUUUCCAAGUCCAGGGGUGAAGCUCCAGCGCAACCUCAACUAAAUUUCCCCAAGACACUCCAGGAAGACUGAAACAGGAGCUUCAAGGGUGAGUGGUAUGCAGUCCACCCCUGGUUAGAAUACUCCAUAAGUGAAGACUCUACCUCUAACAAACAAAAAUGACAAUUAUGUAAAAUGAUUUACAUGGAUCUACACUCACACACGCACACGCACACGCACACGCACACGCACACGCACACGCACACACACACACACACACACAAACAAAGAGUGUCCCUUAUAGACCUGGUUUGUCAGUGCUCUGUUUUCAUUCAGCACCACAAUCUAUUUGAUGUAGUAAGCUAGUGAUAUUGUUCACUAUUUGUAGUGAUACUGUUCAAUGUACAUUGUACAUAUUGUUGAUAUUUUUUUUAUGUAUUAUGGGACAUGUGUGUGUGAUGUAAUGUUUUUGCUUUUCUUUCUCUUUAUAUAUACAUAUAUAAAUAUGUAUAUAUUAUCGCAAAUGAAUGGAAUAUUGCACUUAAAAUGCUACAGUUUACCUAAAUAAAUUAUCGCCUAAAAUGACAA